AGAGUUUGAUCAUGGCUCAGAGUGAACGCUGGCGGCAGGCCUAACACAUGCAAGUCGAGCGGCAGCGCGGAUGUAGCAAUACAUCUGGCGGCGAGCGGCGGACGGGUGAGGAAUGCGUCGGAAUCUGCCUAUUUGUGGGGGAUAACGUAGGGAAACUUACGCUAAUACCGCAUACGACCUACGGGUGAAAGUGGGGGACCGCAAGGCCUCACGCAGAUAGAUGAGCCGACGCCGGAUUAGCUAGUUGGCGGGGUAAAGGCCCACCAAGGCGACGAUCCGUAGCUGGUCUGAGAGGACGGCCAGCCACACGGGGACUGAGACACGGCCCCGACUCCUACGGGAGGCAGCAGCGAGGAAUCUUGGGCAAUGGGCGCAAGCCUGACCCAGCGACGCCGCGUGGGGGAUGACGGCCCUUGGGUUGUAAACCUCUUUCAGCAGGGAAGAAGCGAAAGUGACGGUACCUGCAGAAGAAGCGCCGGCUAACUACGUGCCAGCAGCGGCGGUAAUAC
rnacentral:rRNA from 1 species